rnacentral:rRNA from 1 species
UACGGAGGGGGCAAGCGUUAUUCGGAAUUAUUGGGCGUAAAGGGCGCGUAGGCGGCUAGAUGUGUCAAAGGUGAAAUCCCUCGGCUCAACUGAGGAACUGCCUUUGAAACUGUCUGGCUUGAGGCCGGGAGAGGGUAGCGGAAUUCCCAGUGUAGCGGUGAAAUGCGUAGAGAUUGGGAAGAACAUCGGUGGCGAAAGCGCUCUACUGGACCUCAUCUGACACUCAGGGACGAAAGCUAGGGGAGCGAAUGGG